GGAGAGGUACAGCUGGAGGAGGCUCCACGGAAAGACUGUGGAAACGUGGAAAGCGGGGAAAUGAAGAGGGACACGUCACUCAUUGCGAGCUGAAAUGCAGAGGGGGUGGUGAGGAGAAGACGAGCAGGGAGGCAGAGAUUUGGAAGCCUCAUCACUGAAGGACUGGCCUCAAGAGCACAGAGCAGGGGAAAGUCAACAUCCUAUGAACUGCCAUCACGAUGAGUCUUCCUCUUUUCCUCUUCUUCAUCCUCUUGCCCUGUAGUAAAUCCCAGAAAGACUUUCCGGACCAGUAUCAGAAAUGGAACUACAGAGAAGGCGCUGACAAGGUGAACAUAGAAGGCAUUAACAGCAUUACUCAAACACUUGAGAAAUGGGGAAAUGACAUCUUCUGGCAAAUGAAGCACACCCUGCUGAACAACCCAAAUGAUCUACUGCCGGAGUUCUCCAGCCUCCGCCCCGUCUCUGCAGCUGUGGACAAUCUUGUGAGGGAAGUGCAGUCGAUAAGGAAAAGACUAGAAGAACUGAAUGAACGACUCAAUGUCAUCAACAAAACUGUCCUUCCCAUGAGACUGAAUGCUCUGCAGAGUCAGAGACGUGCAAAUACUCAGCUGCGGCGACUUCCAGUGCAUAGGAGAAGGUUGUACACGCGCAGGACACCUCAGAGGAUUUAAAUCUCUACCAGGAAAAAAGCGAAAUAUGUUUGGUUUUUUUUAUCUGCUUGUGCCUUUCUCAAAGGGAUGCUGCUAGAGAGAAUCAUAGAAUGGUAGGGUUGGAAGGGACCUUUAGAGAUCAUCUAGUCCAAUCCCUCUGCAGAAGCAGGUUCACCUAGAUCAGGUCGCAUAGGAACAUGUCCAGGCGGGUCUUGAAGACCUCCAAGGAAGGAGACUCCACAACCCCUCUGGGCAGCCUGUGCCACUGCUCCGUCACCCUCACAGUGAAAUAGUGUUUUCUUAUGUUUAAGUGGAACUUUUUGUGUUCCAGCUUCAUCCCAUUACCCCUUGUCCUGUUGCUAGCUACUACAGAAAAAAGUUCUGCCCCAGCCUCCUGACACCCACCAUUUAGAUAUUUGUAAAUGUUAAUAAGAUCUCCCCUCAGUCUCCUCUUCUCUAGACUAAACAACCCUGUUUCCUGCACUCUUUCCUUGUAUGAAAGAUGUUCCAGUCCCCUGAUCAUCUUGGUGGCCCUCCACUGGACUCUCUCCAGAAGUUCUCUGUCUCUCUUGAGCUGAGGAGCCCAGAACUGGACACAGUACUCCACAUGAGGCUUCAGCAAGGCAGAGCAGAGGGGGAGCAGAACCUCCCUUGACCUGCUGGCCACACUCUUCUUGAUGCAUUCCAGGAUGCCAUUGGCCUUCUUGGCCACGAGGGCACAUUGCUGGCUCAUGUUUAACUUAUUAUCAAUCAGGACUCCCAGGUCUCUCUCUGCAGAGCUGCUCUUCAGCAGUUCGACCCCCAGCCUGUACUGGUGCAUGGGAUUGUUCCUUCCCAGAUGCAGGACACUGAACUUGUCCUUGUUGAACCUCAUGAGCACAUACAAGUCAGCCUUACUAAGGAGACCAGAACUGCAUUUUGUUGCGGCCUUUCAAACCUAGGUAAGUAGGUGAAAUCUGACCCUGUUCUUCAAUGAUGGCUGUUUUGUGUCCCAAGCAAAAUGAGCUGACAGGCUCAGUCUACUUGACUGUGAUACCUUUAGGCUAUACAGUCAUUCUUUUCCUUAACAGAGGAAGAUCGUUCUAUAAAGAUGAGAUGAAUUUCUCUCUCUGCCCUACUUUUGCAGCACUCCAUCUGAAACAGCUGGGGAAUUUGGUCUUUAAAAGUGCCGAAUGCCUGAUGAAUGUGGAAAGGUAGAUUAGUGCUUUGCACUUCCAGCUGGGCAGGGAUAAGGAGAGGAAGCUAUAUUUUAAAACACAGCCUCAACCUAUUCUCUGUCAGUGCAAAUAACGUCCUCUUCAUAUGUUCUGAGGGUGGGCAGGGUUGGAUAACCUUGGUCUGUGCAUCAUAUUUCAAGACUAAAGAUAUGUCAGUUUCUGGGAACCAAAUUUGUAAAUCCACCUUCUGCAAAAAGCUUUUUUUUUUUUAGCUACCUGAGUCAGGACACUCAGAAUCUUGUUAUUUCACAGAUUUCUUCAGAAUUUCCAGCACUCUGAAAGACAUUGCAUUGACUUCUGCCAAGACCCUUAGAAACCAGGGGAUGUUUUUUAAAAACUUGAUACUUAGUGGCAUAGAUAGGUGUCUAGAAGGAGUUUCCAAAAUCCCUUAAGGGACAGCUUAGUCCCCAAAAUCACAGAUAAUAAUUCAAUCAGUGUCUAAUUCACAGAGUACCUUCUCUACAUGCAAGCACUGACCUCCAGACAUUUCUCAACAUCCUUUAGCACUAUUAAGAACUGUAGAAAAAGAAACACCGUGCACCCUAAGGACUUUGUGCCUCAAGCCUUCAGUUUGUCUUUGCCUGUAGCUUUCUGACAAUAAAACUGGUGAUAAAAACCAGUGCAGAAAUCAAAUUAUGUACCAAACAGAGGAUAGAGUGGGUUUACCCUUCAGGUCUCUAAAGGUAAAUCCAAUGUAGAGAUCCCCAUCCAGCAUUGCAGCCACCUGCUUACCUGAAAUCUAUUGAAAUAGAGGCAGGAGAGUCAAGCAAGAAAAUAAACUAUUUUGUAAAAGGUCUGGACGAAGCAAUUAAUGAGAAUAAAAAUAAAGAACAGAUUACAUCUAAAUGGUUGUGAGCAAGGCUGGCACAACAGUCGUUUUGCAAGCACUCUCCAGUCAGCAGAUACAGUGAGGAUGCAGACUACCUGUUUAAGGCCUGAUCCUCAAGGCCCGAGUUUACAGAAAGAAGUUCAGUGACACUACAAUAACCUCCAGAAGGAAAGGGGGAAAAAACUAGUCUCACACAAAAUCUUUCAGAAUGAACUAAAAGAAGUAACACAGUCAGCAUUUUGGCUGUGAACAGGGAGUGGGGAGUGUAUGAGGAGUGCAUAAGACAAGCUGACAAAUAUUUCCUCUAUAUAAAUUCUCUGAGUUUUCAGAAAAUAAUAAAACUCUGCCUUGUAAAGUCUCUCCUUGGCUUUUGCUUGGGAAUUUGAAAUGCUAAGCUAGAAAAGGGAAAAAUCAAGCCUGUGAAAGGCUUAUAAAAAGAUACAGUUGUGCCUUUGGUGAAGUUGGCAUAAUUGCUCAGGAAAUGCAGAGUAUUUUGAUCAGAGAAUAUAUUUACCUAUUUACAAGGAGUAACAGGAAAUGGCCCCUCCUCCUUGUUAUUCUGUAUUCAGAGCUACUAGGCUGUGGUCUAGCAUUGCCUGCAUGCUUGCACAGACUGGUGGUCCCUAUGGGGGAUGCUUUACACACUUUGCAUGGAGCUGUAGGGACUGCUGGUCACUUUGGCCUAUACAACAUUUGGAGGAAUACAACAUAAAUGUCAGCUUUCAUGCUCAUAUUUUAUGCAUUGGCAUUUUAUCUGGAAACCUUAAGUUAAAUAAAACAAUUGAAGACUACUCGAACCAGAAAGAUGAGACUUCCCUCAGUUCCUUGGUCACUGAUGGCUGGUGACGGGAGGACAGACAAGAUCACUGUGUGCUUGUACUGUUUACCUAGAUGUCCACCACUAGCUUUGUCAGAGAUAGAGGGCCUGGGCAAGAUGGACCUCUGGUCUGACCCAGUCCAUGUAUUCCUACACUGAUAUGUGUUGGCAGUACACAAUUGAUAAAACUGAAAAGAGAAUUUUAGGGGAAGGAGACAGGGAUGGAAAAGCUGGUUUGAAAAUUUGAAAAGAAGUUUGAAACUCCUCAGCUCAGCAGAUAAACUCACUGUUUUAAGAGAGAACAAAUUAGCUGCAGCAGGCAAUCUAUAUUACUAUUUUGCAGUUCAUUGCAUAAUGGUGAAUAAAUAAGUAACAUAAUGGUUAAUAAAUGACUAGACCUUUGGCCUUGUUACAACUGAUAGCGGCCCCUGUCAUUCACUCUGUGAAACUCCAUAUCAGGCUCCAGCCCAGCUCCCUGACCUGAACAUGGUCUCUUUGAUCCUAUGAUCACGGCCAGCUGCUUUAACUUCUUUGCCUUUGCAUGACCCUCUCCCUCUAGAUGGAAAUGACUUAAUGUCACAUUUCUCAUUAUUUUCUUUCUCACUCUUUAGGAGGAUAGUAGAAGUUAUGCAUCAGCCUCCCUCUGUGCCAUCUAUUUGAGGAGGCAGGAGUCCAGCUGAGCGUGCACCUGGAAGUGCCUGUGUCUCAUCUGCUUUGGAAGGCUGGUCUGGUCCACCAGCUCUGAUUCAGAAGCGUAUUUGAUUCCUGCCUCCACUAUGCUCUUAAACAGUCCCAUGCAAGGCACUUUAGCUGACACUUGUCUUUUGACAUGGCUUAUGCAACUAAAAUCCCCAUGGGAUCAUGAAGGAUCUAAGUUCGCCGUGCACAUAAAUACAUCCAGCUGUAUAAGCCAUCUAAGCCCCCUAUUGUGUUCAUUUAUGUGUACUUCUGGGAAGGGACUCGUCUGGAGUUUUAAAA